GUCUCCGUGGCGCAAUGGCAGCGCGCUCGACUUUUAAUCGAGUGGUUGCGGGUUCGAGCCCCGCCGGUGAUG